rnacentral:rRNA from 1 species
UACGUAGGGUGGGAGCGGUAAUCGGAAUUACUGGGCGUAAAGAGUGCGCAGGCGGUUUUGUAAGCCAGAUGUGAAAGCCCCGGGCUUAACCUGGGAAUGGCAUUUGGGACUGCAAGGCUGGAGUGUGGCAGAGGAGACUGGAAUUCCCGGUGUAGUGGUGAAAUGCGUAGAUAUCGGGAGGAACACCAGUGGCGAAGGCGGCUUCCUGGCCUGUUCUUGACGCUGAGGCGCGAAAGCUAGGGGAGCAAACGGG